rnacentral:rRNA from 2 species
UUUGAAAUCUGGCUCCUUUGGGGUCCGAGUUGUAAUUUGCAGAGGGAGCUUUUGGCGUCGGUCGUGGUCUAAGUUCCUUGGAACAGGACGUCACAGAGGGUGAGAAUCCCGUACGUGGCCGCCGGCCUUCGCCUUGUAAAGCCCCUUCGACGAGUCGAGUUGUUUGGGAAUGCAGCUCUAAAUGGGAGGUAAAUUUCUUCUAAAGCUAAAUACCCGCCAGAGACCGAUAGCGCACAAGUAGAGUGAUCGAAAGAUGAAAAGCACUUUGGAAAGAGAGUGAAAAAGCACGUGAAAUUGUUGAAAGGGAAGCGCUUGCGGCCAGACGUGCCCGCGGUUGAUCAUCCAGGCUCCAGCCUGGUGCACUCCUCCGCGGGCAGGCCAGCAUCAGUUCGGGCGGUCGGAUAAAGGCCUCUAUCACGUACCACCCCUCGGGGUGGCCUUAUAGGGGAGGCGCAACACGGCCAGCCCGGACUGAGGUUCCGCGCAUCUGCUAGGAUGCUGGCGUAAUGGCAGCAAGCGGCCCGUCUUGAAACACGGACCAAGGAGUCUAACAUCUAUGCGAGUGUUUGGGUGUCAAGCCCGAGCGCGCAAUGAAAGUGAACGGAGGUGGGAACCCUUACCGGUGCACCAUCGACCGAUCCUGAUGUCUUCGGAUGGAUUUGAGUAAGAGCAUAGCUGUUGGGACCCGAAAGAUGGUGAACUAUGCCUGAAUAGGGUGAAGCCAGAGGAAACUCUGGUGGAGGCUCGCAGCGGUUCUGACGUGCAAAUCGAUCGUCAAAUUUGGGCAUAGGGGCGAAAGACUAAUCGAACCAUCUAGUAGCUGGUUCCUGCCGAAGUUCCCUCA